UGUUUUUCUUUGAUCUGUUGUUGGUGGAUACUUCUGACUUCAGAUUUCACGUUUGGCAAUGCGGCAGUGAAUCAUGCUCUAACUUUAUUUGUUAAUCAUGGAGAGUCUGCCAAAAUAAGAUGCAACUACAGCCGAACAGAUGACACAGAAAUCAUGACAGUGGAUUUAAAAGCGUUAAAUCAGACACGCAUGUGUUCAUACAUACAUUUGAAUUCAUGGAAAAAACAAAGCUGCAAAGAUCACAUCAGAUUCAUAUGGAAUCCAGAGGCUAAGGAAAUAUCAUUUGAGCUAUUAAAUCUCCAUAUUAAGGAUACCGGCAAAUACACCUGUAUUGUGAGGAGGAAUGCAAAACCACCUGAAGUGGAUCUGGGAGUAGAAAGAGUUCAAAUUAUUGGCUGCCAACAGAAAAGCCACGCUCCUCCUAAUUAGCCUCAGCUGCGGAUGAUUUGGAGUGCUGCAUGAAAGAAAGGGAGAUAAUAAAAAAAAAAAGAAGAAAGAAAACAUUCACCAGCAUAGUACAAACACAAGACUAUGUCACAGGACGUAACAUCAGAAAAAAUGUAAUAUUAUAUAAUAACUUUGCAUGAAUCCUUUCACUAUUUGCAGUGUAUCCCGUCUUGUCUCUGUCCUGUGUGAAGAGGCCUGAUGGGUCUCCCAUGAUUCUGUGCUCUGUGGAUUUUUAGCAUGAUUCUCUUGAACAGUUUUGCAGAGACGGAGAUGUCCUCAAAAGCUCAUACUCAAAAAAAUCAUUCAAUGGAUUCUUCAGUCAGCAAUCAUACCUUAUACUGCCACCACAGACCUUCAAUGAUACAGUCUACUCCUGCUGGGUAAAUCAUUCAUCCCUAAACAAACCACUAGUGGCCAGUUUAUCAAGCUCGGUCUGCUAUAAGAAAGGGGGUAAGUUUUUUCUUGUUUAAAUGUGUUACAUACUGUAUGACAUAAUGACAUAUCAGUAAGAAAUUGGCUAUAAUGUGGUUUAUAAUAUAUAAUUCUGUCUUGUAGAUUUAACGGAGGCUCUGGCAGUGGCAUUUGUUAUCUCUGCGGUUUUGACAGUCGUUUUGAUGAUUUUUGUAGUCCUGUAGGCAAAUGUAACAUUAAGUCUCAGGUAUGAACUCUGUGUUUAUAUUAAGCAUCUUAUUUUUUAUUUCUAUUUAAAAUGUCAUUCUGAUUGUGUUACUGAAUACUGGAAUGCUUAUUACCAGAAUUUGUAUUGGUAAACCUUAAUGACCUUGUCUAUGGACAAAAAAUUGUCUAUGAACGUGAUUGUAUUCAAAUGUACAGAUGUUACAGAGCUCCAGACUGUGCCAAAAAUGGUCGCAUUUGCCACCAAAAAAUAUUAAUUUGCUAGUGAAAUUUUUGCUGACAUCGCCACUUCCGGCUAUAUAAACUUACAUGUUGUGACUUUAAAUUUGCGUGUAAUUCUUUUUUUUCCUGCUGGUUUUGCCUGUUGCUAUGUUGACGUUAUAAAGUGACGAUAAAAAACAUUGGCUCCAGUUGGCAGCUUGAGAUAAUCGCAAUAAGCUUUGUGCUGUGUUACCUUUAAAUAAACAAAGUAUCAGCUUUAAAAUUCUGCCAAAUCACGAAUUUGCGAUGAAUGGACACCAAAG
ensembl:lncRNA